rnacentral:rRNA from 1 species
UCGGCUCAUCACAUCCUGGGGCUGAAGUAGGUCCCAAGGGAAUGGAUGUUCGCCAUUUAAAGUGGUACGCGAGCUGGGUUUAGAACGUCGUGAGACAGUUCGGUCCCUAUCUGCCGUGGGCGCUGGAGAACUGAGGGGGGCUGCUCCUAGUACGAGAGGACCGGAGUGGACGCAUCACUGGUGUUCGGGUUGUCAUGCCAAUGGCACUGCCCGGUAGCUAAAUGCGGAAGAGAUAAGUGCUGAAAGCAUCUAAGCACGAAACUUGCCCCGAGAUGAGUUCUCCCUGAGACUUAGAGUCUCCUGAAGGAACGUUGAAGACGACGACGUUGAUAGGCCGGGUGUGUAAGCGCAGCGAUGCGUUGAGCUAACCGGUACUAAUGAACCGUGAGGCUUAACCUUACAACGCCGAAG